UUGCAAUUAUAGUUUUUGUGCAGGGACAACCGUCUCUACAAAAUUACUUAGAAAAUUUGAAAAAUCUACAAAACUCAGAUCAGUUAGGUCAAAUUCAAAAACAAAUAGGAGAGGCAUUAUCAAAUGGAAUCUUAAAUAGGGAUCAACUAAGGCAAAUCCAACGACAAUUGGGAGAAUCAUUAGCAAAUGGAGCAAAUAAACUAUCAGAGGAAGUACAAAGGCAAUUAUCAACAUUCAUAAGUGCACUACAAGCCAGGAAUAAUUAAAUAUUGUUUUAAUUAUAUGCAUUUUAAAUGUCG